UCUACGUAGUAUGAACCUAUAAUGUGUACGUUAUCCUCACAAAGCUAUAAGAAGUAUAAUUUAGCCCUCUUUCUCCUCAUCAUCCAAUUGUAAGUGAAGGAAAAAGCACUCGACGGGAUAUCGCAGCGUUCAUCUGUACAUGGUAAAGCAUCGCAGAAUCGAAGGCGUCUGGAACUCACGCAAAAUUUUAAAUUAGUCGUCGGCGAUAUGUGAAAUUUCGUUGAACUUUACUUCUCUGCUUCACGUACCGUUAUCAGAGUUAUACGUAAUAAUACCUUCAUUCGUCAUUUAUCUCUUUCAUUGUCAUUCCGUUUACACGUUCGAUAAAUAUUCCAGCAUCCAACAGGCAACAGCCAACUCGUGUGUAACCUGUUUACAUGGAUUUAUUUAAUAUACCUGAUUACCUGCAGGAAAUUUCAUCUGCGGCGUGUUGUCUUGUCUGUCAAUAAGUACACGCGUUAUCAGUUGCUAUCGAACGAAGUAAUCUGUCGAUCGACGAUCAGCAUCAUUAACGGUGAUUUUUUGCGCUAUUUUGAGGCCAAUUUUUUCUCGAAGAAUGUUCGUUCGGUAUCUGAAUUCUAUUCUCAGUGUAACCUUGAUCGAAAUAAAUACCAAAUAGUUAUACUCGUAUUUACGCUAUCAAGAAGGAACUUAAUAUGUAUGAAAAUGCAGCAUUAUUG